AUAAAUAACGAAAUGCAUAAUUCAUUGGGUUUACAAUCAAAGCAAAGCAUGGACACAAAGGCUUUAGGAAUUCAAUUCGCGUAGAGCUACAACGUUUGAUACUGGCCAACGAUGGAUUGAGAACGGAAUCUGAAUGAGUGUGCUCCUUUUGAGACCCCGUGUCGUUUUUGCGUUCAAAAGAAGCAACAACUCAACGCCCAAUUGGCGACCUUAUCAGGCCUCCUUCAUUUGCUUUAACGCCAACUUGUAUUCUUUACCUGACAAACUACUUUAUCUUGUCUAUUGUCUUUGGUAUUGUAUGGUACAAUAUGUAAUCGUAACACAGAAUUUGUCUGAUGCAUUUGCCGUCCCCGGUUCCAAAAAUGAAGAUGGUCAACUUCUUUUAAGUAUGGAGCGGCCCCCUGCAUCUCAAUGAGCAACUACCAGAGUUGUUUCCCCUCAAAGGAUCUUGCCCUUACCAAAGAUCUGAUAGAUUUUGGGAAAGCCUUACAUGGACUGUGGAAGCCUUACCAGUAUUAGCAAAAGGGAGACUGUAAUGGCUAUGGCAAUCGGCUUGUCACUUGUGGCUUCGUUAGUCGGUUCAACUUGUGGUUGUCAUUUUUCAGCAAUUUACGCCUUGGGCGAUUCAAACUCUGACACAGGAAGUGUCUCAGCAACAUUUGGUCGGGUUCCUCCUCCUUAUGGCGAGACCUUUUUUGGUAGGCCUUCUGGUCGGUAUUCUGAUGGGCGUCUGAUCAUCGAUUUUAUAGCUGAUGAGUUGAAAUUGCCUUUCUUGAAUGCAUAUCUUGAUGCAAUAGAGUCAAUUUACAGCCAUGGAGCAAAUUUUGCAGCAAGCGGAUCAACAAUUCAACCAGCUGAUAGCAAGUUAGUUGGGGCAGGUUUUAAUCCCUUAUCCCUGGAUAUACAGCUCUUGCAGUUUGAGCAACUUAAAGAACGCACCAACGAGCUUUAUGGCCAAGAUAUUAGUAUUACGGACAGGCUCUCCAGGCCAGAGGAGUUCUCAAAGGCCCUUUACAUGUUAGAUUGUGGACAGAAUGAUCUCCAUUAUGGCCUUGUAACAACUACAGAGGAACAGGUGAAGGCAUCCGUUCCCAACAUAAUCAGUCAGCUUACUGUGGCAAUAAAGAAGCUCUAUCAAAAUGGUGCAAGAAUAUUCUGGAUGCAUAAUACCGGUCCCAUUGGCUGCUUGCCUAUUUUUGUUAUAAAUUCCCCUCCAAAGCCUGGAAAUGCUGACCAAGCGGGCUGCAUUAAGUCUUACAAUGAAGUGGCUCAAGAAUUCAACAAGCAGCUUAAAGACAGGGUUUCUCAACUUAGGGCCAAGCUCCUCGAUGCAAGGCUUAUAUAUGUUGAUAUCUACUCAGCUAAAUACUCUCUAAUUAGUGAAGCGAAUAAACAUGGUAGGUUUUACCCUAUAAUUGACCUUUUCAGUUAUGUGACAUCUUUCUUUUUGCUGUCAGAAGUUCCGUAGUGGGUUAGCCUUGGUGCUGUUGUAAGUUGUUCCACUGUGACCUGGUGGUCCCAGGUUGAAUCUGCAAAGGAGGGGAAAGACUCUGUAAUUUGACCUCUCCUAGAACCCAGAAUGUUGGAGCUUCUUCUAGCUUUGUUGGUCCUUUUAUGAACUGUUGCGGGCAGUACGGUUAUUAUCACGUCGAAUGUGGGAAGGCAUCUGUGGUGAACGGUACUGAAAUUUUUGGGGCUUCUUGCAGUGAUCCUUCCAAACACAUCAGCUGGGAUGGCAUUCAUUAUACUGAAGCUGC